UUUGGAAGUAAAAAUCGUAACAAGGUUUCCGUAGGUGAACCUGCGGAAGGAUCAUUACCUAGAGUUUGUAGACUUCGGUCUGCUACCUCUUACCCAUGUCUUUUGAGUACCUUCGUUUCCUCGGCGGGUCCGCCCGCCGAUUGGACAACAUUCAAACCCUUUGCAGUUGCAAUCAGCGUCUGAAAAAACAUAAUAGUUACAACUUUCAACAACGGAUCUCUUGGUUCUGGCAUCGAUGAAGAACGCAGCGAAAUGCGAUAAGUAGUGUGAAUUGCAGAAUUCAGUGAAUCAUCGAAUCUUUGAACGCACAUUGCGCCCCUUGGUAUUCCAUGGGGCAUGCCUGUUCGAGCGUCAUUUGUACCUUCAAGCUCUGCUUGGUGUUGGGUGUUUGUCUCGCCUCUGCGUGUAGACUCGCCUUAAAACAAUUGGCAGCCGGCGUAUUGAUUUCGGAGCGCAGUACAUCUCGCGCUUUGCACUCAUAACGACGACGUCCAAAAGUACAUUUUUACACUCUUGACCUCG
rnacentral:rRNA from 1 species